AGAGUUUGAUCAUGGCUCAGGAUGAACGCUAGCGGCAGGCUUAAUACAUGCAAGUCGAGGGGCAGCACAGGUAGCAAUACUGGGUGGCGACCGGCAAACGGGUGCGGAACACGUACGCAACCUUCCCAUAACUGGUGAAUAGCCUUCCGAAAGGGAGAUUAAUACACCGUAACAUAACGAGAUGGCAUCAUCUUGUUAUUAUAGCUUCGGCGGUUUUGGAUGGGCGUGCGCCUGAUUAGGUAGUUGGCGGGGUAACGGCCCACCAAGCCUCCGAUCAGUAACUGGUGUGAGAGCACGACCAGUCACACGGGCACUGAGACACGGACCAGACUCCUACGGGAGGCAGCAGUGAGGAAUAUUGGUCAAUGGGCGCAAGCCUGAACCAGCCAUCCCGUGUGCAGGAAGACGGCCCUAUGGGUUGUAAACUGCUUUUAUACACCAAGAAAAAUCUCCACGUGUGGAGACCCGACGGUAGUGUAUGAAUAAGCAUCGGCUAACUCCGUGCCAGCAGCCGCGGUAAUACGGAGGAUGCAAGCGUUAUCCGGAUUCCUUGGGUUUAAAGGGUGCGUAGGCGGCUUUUUAAGUCAGUGGUGAAAUCUUGCCGCUUAACGGUAAAAUUGCCAUUGAUACUGAGAAGCUUGAGUACAUUUGAGGUAAGCGGAAUGUGUAGUGUAGCGGUGAAAUGCUUAGAUAUUACACAGAACACCAAUUGCGAAGGCAGCUUACUAAACUGUUACUGACGCUGAUGCACGAAAGCGUGGGGAUCGAACAGGAUUAGAUACCCUGGUAGUCCACGCCGUAAACGAUGUUCACUCGCUGUUUGCGAUACACAGCAAGCGGCCAAGCGAAAGCAUUAAGUGAACCACCUGGGGAGUACGAUCGCAAGGUUGAAACUCAAAGGAAUUGACGGGGGCCCGCACAAGCGGAGGAACAUGUGGUUUAAUUCGAUGAUACGCGAGGAACCUUACCUGGGCUUAAAUGUAGAGCGACAGCUUGUGAAAGCAGGCUUUCUUCGGACGAUCUACAAGGUGCUGCAUGGUUGUCGUCAGCUCGUGCCGUGAGGUGUCGGGUUAAGUCCCAUAACGAGCGCAACCCUUAUCGUUAGUUGCCAGCGGGUCAAGCCGGGGACUCUAGCGAGACUGCCACCGUAAGGUGAGAGGAAGGUGGGGAUGACGUCAAAUCAGCACGGCCCUUAUGUCCAGGGCUACACACGUGUUACAAUGGCCGAUACAAAGGGCAGCUACCAGGUGACUGGAUGCUAAUCUCUAAAGUCGGUCUCAGUUCGGAUCGAAGUCUGCAACCCGACUUCGUGAAGCUGGAUUCGCUAGUAAUCGCGCAUCAGCCAUGGCGCGGUGAAUACGUUCCCGGGGCCUUGUACACACCGCCCGUCAAACAAUGGAAGGCUGGGGGUACCUGAAGUCUGUAACCGCAAGGAGCGGGCCUAGGGUAAAACUAGUAACUGG
rnacentral:rRNA from 1 species